CUUUUCCUCUCUUGUCAAGCAGCCGGUUUUGUGCUCUGCCACCACCAAGUGACAGCGACCCGCCGAAUGAUAGCAGCUGCUAUGGUGGAUGUGCCUCCCUUCUCAGGGAGUUAACAUAAUCUGAGUUUUGGGGAAGAAAAAGAAAAGGAAAACAAGCAUGAUUUGAGGUCUCUGUCCAGAUUCUGUACGUGGACUAGGAUCAGACAUCUGGUGAGCAGUGAUCUGUUACAGUGUGCCUCACAGUUACAACUGGAAGGAGAGAAGCUCUGGUGUUGAGGCAGAAAUGUGCAUUAAAG
rnacentral:lncRNA from 1 species